GGCCGCCCACAUCCCGCUGCUCACCAUCUGCUCGGACGCUGGAGCCGAAAUCUGCCCCGAGAGCUUGGCCGCCCCCGUGAGCGCGAAGAAGCCACCCAGCAGGACGCGCAGAGCGGCGAGCCCGAGCGCCAUGGCCGCGCAGGGCCACCAGAAGACCGGCGCCAGAACCUCCCGCUCCCCGCCCCCCACCCCGAGGCUGUUGCCACCCUCUUUUCUGGCCCCCACCUGUUGCGAGGGGAGACGGCCUUCGGGAGGGGCAUCCCCAUCUCUCAGAUGGGGGCACUGAAGCCCAGUGGCUCAACUGACCGCACGAGCCCCUUUGAAUUCAAGGGGCGUCUCUUGUCUCCCAACCAGUAUGACUGAGUAGAGUCAGACUCCAGGAGUAACCAUCUACACGUGCCUCGCAGAAGACCGGGGUUUCCUUCCAGCCUGAGCCACCCUAGCUUUGGGAUCUGAGCUGCCACCUAACCUCCUCGGGCCUCACUAUUUGCAUCUGUAAAAGCGAUUAAGCCUGUUCUCCUUAGGAACAGGCCUAGCACAAUGUCUGGCACCUGUAAGAGCUCAAACGUUAUUUGUAAAUUAGUAAAUUAUGAAAUCAUUAAUAAGUCGGUAGCAAGUAAUUAUAAAUUGUUUUCUUUGUGUAAAAUAUAUUUUUCCUCCAAUUCCUCUCAGUUGAAAUUAAAAUAUGAAAAGUGUUUGAAAAUUCAGACACUUGCAGCAUAGGUAAGAGAGACUUGCACUAACAAAACCCUACAGGCCACUCGUGGUCCAUCUGCUAUAACCUGGAAAUCAGUCAGUCUAGACCUUGAUGGACAAACUGUGGGCCAAAUUUAGUCAGCGGUUUUUUUCCACUGGUUCCCCCUUCUUCCUCCCCAGCUAACAAUGUUUUACAUUUUUUAAUGAUAAAAAAAAUUUUAAGGCAGCUUUCAUGACACAUGAAAAUUAUAUGAAAUUCUUAGUUCAAUGUUCAUAAAGUUUUAUUGAAACACAGCCACACUCAUUUGUCUGUGUAUUGCCUACAGCUGCUUUUGUGCUGCAAACCCAAAAUUGACUAGUUGCCACCACAUGGCCUGCAAAACCUAAAGUAUUCACUAUCUGGCCUUUUAUGGGAAAAGUUUGCCAAGCCCUGGUGUAGAGCGCCACAGAAACCCCUACUCUCCUGCAGCUUCUAUUUCUGAUCAGCCAAGCUGUUUAGGUCUUUGUUUUCUACGUACCCACAACCUGCUGGGGUGGGUGGCUGCCUGGCUGAAGACUGCAAUGUCCCAUGUGCUUCUAAAGGCCAAGCAGAUUAACAUCCAGGUGUGCUGAUACAUUACAAACAGGCUUUUUGUGACCAUUUUUGUCCCUAAUCCAGAUGAUCCAAUCAAUCAAAUAGCUAAAUUCUCUGCCUUGGACUAUUAAAAUUAUAAUGUAUAACUAGGUAUAAAUGCACAAUUAUUCCUCAACAAAAAGAAAAAUUAUUAAAACAUAUAAUCACUGAAAACACAUAUCCACAUUAGGAAAUUAUAUUUUAGGAUAUUUAUACAAAAUUUAACACAAAAUUAUAGACUUUGAUCAUUAGCAAUACCCAUCUUACUAUUCUUUCUCCUUUACUAAUUUUUCUAUCCUUGGAAUUAAAGAUGUGACUGCAAGUCUUAGAGCAGGACCAGAAACCAACAGAUUUCUUUGUCUUGACUCAGUCAAAGCGGAAAAUGUAGCAUCACAUAAAUAAACAGUUGAAAAGGGCAAUAAAAACUUCAUUGCCUUUUCAUGGAGUUCUGGGUAAUUUGUCUUUGCAUUUAUCCAAAACUGAGUCACAGACAUUGAUUUAAAUAUUGACUGUAAUUCCAAAUCUGAAGAUAGCUGUACUAGUUUUUCUUCUUCGAAGUCCAUGAGAUUACUAUCUUUGGAAUUCAUAAAAGGAUUAAUUAUCCACAAAUUUCCUGAACGCAAGUCUUCUUCUGGUGGGUAACAGUCAUUGAACAUUUGACAAAGUCCUUCCAGGUGCUCAAAAAUAAUGCUUGCAAUGCUUCUCAUAUUUAAGUCUGAUGAGUUUACGAAUUCGGAAAAUGAAGGGAACAUGUCAUAAUCAUUCUCUUGUGUGCGCUUCAACCACAUUUUUAACUUUUCCUUAAGUAUAUCCAUUUUAUUAUACAAAUUGAAGAGAGUAGUCAUAGUUCCUCGGAGACUUAAGUUGAGUUCAUUUAUAAGUGAAAAAAUAUCUGAUAAAUAGGCCAGCUUUGCAACCCAUUCUUCAUCAAGAAAAUACUUGGCCAAAUCUGAAUGCUUCUGGUUUAAAAAAAUUUCAAUUUCAUGUCGUAGUUCAAAUAAUCUUGUUAAAAUUCUCCCUCUCGAAAUCCAACGUACUUCAGCAUGAAGGGGUAGAUUCACAUGCUCAGGCCCCAUUUCUUCACACAAAAUUGUUAACAUUCGUGAAUUUGAUGCAUUGCUCUUUAUAAAACUUAAAAUUUGUGCUGACUGCAAAAGAAUUUUAUGUAAGCAUGGAGACAACUUUUCUGCUGCUAAAUGCUCACGGUGAAUAAAACAGUGUGUAAAUGCCACUGUAUUCGUGGCGAUUUCUUGAAUCUUUGCCCUUAAACCAGAACACCUGCCAGUCAUGCUUGCAGCCCCAUCUGUACAGAGACCAACACAGUGUUUCCAAUUCAGAGACUUACUAUCAAUAUAUUUAUUUAUUAGUUCAAAUAUUUCAAAACCAGUUAUUUGAGAAGGCAUUUCAAUGCAACAUAGUAAUUCUUCUUUUAUAUCACUGCAAUCAUAAUCAAUGAAACGAAUAUAGCACAAAAGAAGGGUGAUAUUUGAGAUUUCUGAUGAUUCAUCUACCUGAAGGGCAAACCACUUUGACUUUCUGACUUUUUGAAUCAGCUGAUCUUCAAUGUCUGCAGACAACUCAUCAAUCCUGUGUCCAAUCGUGUUAUUAGAAAGAGGAAUGGUUUUCAUUUUGUCUCCAGCACUUGAACCCAAAACUUCUGAACACAUUUCCACUAAAUAUGGUUUAAUUAAUUCUUCGGCAAUGGAGAAUGGCUUCUUGCUGGCAGCAAUUUGGAAAGCAAUUAAAUAAGAAGCUUUCACAAGUGACUUUUCAACUAGUAAACACUUUUUUAAAGAACUAUUCUGACAUUCCAUUUCAAGAGAUUUUUGUUCAAAAAAAUCUACUGGUUUGUUUUCUAAUUCUGAAUGUUUUGUCUUCAGAUGAUGAGAAAGAUUUGCUGGCUUCAUGUUUUCAGUGGAUAAGAUUUCUCCACAAAUGACACAUUGUGGCCUUGGUGAACUUUCUUUUGAUCCUGGACAGAUAAUAAAACCAACUUUUAAAUAUUCCGCAUCAUAAGUCUGGAAAAAACCUAUUCUUUUUUUCUUUGCAGGUGGAGAAUCAAGUUCCGCAUCAUUUUUCUCAUUAGGCAUAGAAUUUCAUUGAAGAUUUUUAAGCAGUGGAGUGACACAAUCUGAUUUAAAAUCAUUCUGCUAACAAUGUGGAGAAAAAAAAUGCAAAGGGCAAGAAUGCAAGCAGGAAGACAGGUAGGAGGUCACUGCAAUGAAUCAGAGAAAAGACGAUGGUGCCUCAGACAAAGAAGGUAGCAGCAGGAAUGGUGGGCCAGAGUCUACUCCAGAAUUUCUCAAAGAAUGGUCCAAGAAAACUGGGCAUCAAUAUCACCUGGGAUGCCUGAGAAAGAAGGGAGCUCCGUUGAAGUAGUUUGCGCCUUAUAAAUAUUUACUGAUUAAAACAAAAAGGAAAAGUUAAGGACAUCCAGGCGAUUUGAAUUCAAUAAAAUUUUGAUGCUAUUAUAUUUA